UGUAGUCGAAAUGCAGUAAAUUUUUUGAUACUAGGAAUAACGAGGCGUGUGUGAGACUGAGAGCGAAUGACGUCACAACAAAACAUUGGCAAGGUGGAGGAAGCGUCGCCUGAAAGUGGUUGUUUUGUUGUGGUCGUGACGUUUUUUCGUGUCUCGGAGGACGACCCGCAGCCCAGCACCGCGCGAGGGACCUGCCAGGAUGCCCCAGAGCAAGCGGAGGCAGAAGGAGCCCCGCGCCGCCACCAAGGAGAAGCGAAGAGUUAAGGCGGACACACACUAUACGAUGCGGCUGUCCGGCGGCCGAAAGUGGGUGGAGCAUCGUCGGCCGGAUGAAGCAUACACACUAUGAGGCGGCCUCACGGAAUACCGGGCGGCGGCCGUCACUCUGAGCCCCACCGCCGCAGCGACGACAACAACACAAUUUAUGUUUUAUGUUCCACAAACAUGGAUGGCCCUUGUACACAUCAAAUAAACAGAUCCAAAAGU